rnacentral:misc_RNA from 1 species
UUUCUUCAAUAGAGGAAGCAAAAGUCGUAACAAGGUAGCUGUAGGUGAACCUGCAGCUGGAUCAUUUUCCGAUGAUUACACCAAAAAACAUACAACUCCGGGGAGGCUUGUGUUUUCUAGCAAGCCUUUCCCACAGAUACGCAAUACAAUCUAUAUAUAUAUAUGUAUAUAGACACAACAUACAGUAGAAAAAGGCCGAUCGACGUUAACAUAUCGCGUAUACAACAAAAAAGUUCGUUCUACGGCUUUUUUUUUGGCGGCGUGCGUGGAUAACGGCUCACAUAA